AAAAUCCAAGAGAUGGGGUUUUAAAAUUCAAUGGCAUUAGGGGUAUUUUAGGGUUAUAGAAAUUGAAUCCAUACACACAUCUCCAGAUCAACAUUCCACAUCAGAUCUUACUCGCUCACGCACACAUAUGGACAUCUUCAUCACUCUGUUUCAGAUCUAGAUCCAAUAUUGAUUCAGUUUUCAUGGCCGCUGAUCAUCAAUCGAUAUGAAAUCCAAAAUCCUCCAAAGGUCGAGAUUGAUAUCGUUUAUUAGGAUGCCAAAAGUCUUCAUGAAUAGUUGGCUCAAAAUCAGAUCUUAAAUUAUCCCCACUCAUUAAAUGAUCUUCCACCUUUAUCGUUCCUUCUUUCCUUCCUCCCCCAACACAUAUUCCAGUCAAUGAGCGGUUCCUCCCCUUGCUUCAGCGUUGCUUCACUGGAGAAUAAGGACCAUGAAGACCAAUGGACCUAACACAUCGGCCAUCGCAACGCUACCACCAAAUCGGAAGUUGUAGGAAGAAAAGAAGAUUACUCUGAGCCUUAAGGUCUUGAAAUCGUAUGUUCGAGUCUUUUCUCUCUUCUCUCAACGUCUGGAAUAAUAGAAUCUAUAAGCCUUCUCUUAUUUUCAUCGAUUUUGACAUUUUGUGCAAGUUUUGAGUUUAAGUUUGUUGAAUCAGGUAUUGUUAUCAAUUGAAUGAUUUGAAUCUGCAUUCUUUCAUAUGAAUUUGCAUUUACUGGAUGACUUGAAUCUAUUCUGGAAUUUCCUAUUUUGAGAUUUUCAGAUUGUGUAAGUUCCGGUUUUCAAAUUUUAUAUCUAUUGAACGACUUGAAUCAGAGUAUUUCCCUAUAGUUUUUUAUACAACUCGUUUAAUGGAUAUAUGCAUAUUUUAUCGGUUUCUGCAAUUGUUUGAUCAACAUGAUAUUACAUGUUACAAUAAAGAAUCAUUUGAUCAUUGGGUGGUUAAUAAUUUCAUAGAAAGUAUGCAUAUUUUCAAAUAGUACAUUAAAAAAUUAUAUUCAAGUUAAUGUCAAAUAUAUUAUAUAUAUAUAUAUAUNNNNNNNNNNNNNNNNNNNNNNNNNNNNNNNNNNNNNNNNNNNNNNNNNNNNNNNNNNNNNNNNNNNNNNNNNNNNNNNNNNNNNNNNNNNNNNNNNNNNNNNNNNNNNNNNNNNNNNNNNNNNNNNNNNNNNNNNNNNNNNNNNNNNNNNNNNNNNNNNNNNNNNNNNNNNNNNNNNNNNNNNNNNNNNNUAUAUAGAUGAUAGGAAGUUGUUAUUGUUUAUAAAAGUGCAUACAUAUACAUACGUGUAUAUAUGCACACUUUCUGUACGGUACAUAUGUGCACCCUUUAUAUACAUUACAUAUGUGUAUAUUUGUGGGUUUGUAUACACCUAAUUGCAUAUGUGAUUAUUACAGGAUAUAUUCACAUAUGAAUCAAAUAUAAUUCACAUGUAAAUUAAAUAUGAAUCACAUGUGAUUCACGUGUAAUUCACCAGUGAAUCAUAUAUGAAUUACAUGUUAUUCACGUGUAAAUCCCAUGUAAUUUACAUAUAAUUCACACAUGAUUCAGAUGUAAAUCACAAGUGAAUCACAUAUGAAUUACGUAUGAUUCAUAUGUAAAUCACAGGUGAAUCACAUACAAAAUACAUGUGAUUCACAUAUAAAUCACAAGUUAAUCACAUAUGAGUUAUGUCUAUAUGCACACAUACAUUUUGUGUGAGUGUUCUUCGUUAAUUAAUAUUUAAAAAAAUUCUUGUGAAUUUCUCAUUUGUAUAUUAAAAAAUACAAUCACAUGUGAAAAUCACAUUAUAUAAUCACAUUUGUAUCUUACAUGAUAUAUAGACAUUACUUUUGAAAGAAUUUUGUUUAAAAUGAAGUGGUAAAAACUGAUAAAUUGAAGAAAAUAUGGAAAUAUUGACAGUAAGAAAUGAUAACACUUUGAAACUUUGUAGCAUUUUUUAUAUUUUAUUUUAUAUUAAAAAUACUUAUAUUAUUGUGUUUAUAGAUUAUUAAAUAAAAACAAGUUUUUUAUGAUUAAAUAUGAGCAUUAUAGUUUAAGAAAUAUUCAUAUACGAACUUGAAAAAUAUGCAUAUACGCACCUGAAAAUGUUAUUUUUUUUGGUUAAAAAAUUAUAGUUUUUUUAAUAUUUCAUUUUUUUAUAUAUUUAUUUUUGUUUUUGAAAAUUAUUUUUUUAUAAAGAUGGUAGUUUUUUUAAAAAAAUUCAAUUUUUUUUAAUUUCAUUUUUCUAAAAAUAAUUAAAAAUCUGCGUUUUAGAGAAUAUCAAAAAUUAUUAAUUUUAUAAAAAGUCACAAAAUUUUGAUUUACUAUGAUAAAUGUUAGACAUUUUUCUUAAUAUUUCCAGUAACAAAUUUUUUUUAUCAUUAAAUAAGAUUGGUAAGAUGACAAUCAUGCCCUUAAUGAGUUAAUUUUGAUAUAACAGUCCACAUUUAGUUUUUGGAUUCUCGUAAAACUAUGAGUUCUCAACGAAUCUCAUUUAUAUGUAUGUAUAUAUAUAUAUAUAUNNNNNNNUAUAUAUAUAUAUAUAUAUAGUUAUUGUAUUGUAACUAUCUAUUGUGUAGAUGUAGUAUUGAUUGUGGACAAAGCAUUUUAGUUAUUUUAAGAAAACUAAUUAAUACUUAUUAUUUAAUUAAAAUAAUUGAAAAAUACCAUCUAAUUUCGGUAUAAUGAUAUUUUAGUCAAUUGAGAUAAAUUUAAAAAUGAAAAAUUCCAGAUUUUUGAGAUAAUUAAUUCUCUUGGAUUUAAAAAUUCUAAUUGUUUUAAUUAAUUCGAUUUUAAUUGUAAUAUAUCGUUCUUUUAGAAUACUCUAAAAAUGAAUUUUUUUUUGAAUGUUAUGCUUUAAGAAUACAUAUCAUUUUGCUAUAUACGAAUAUGUUACACAUGAUUUUGAUUUUUACAAUUAUAAUACAUAUGAAUCUACCAUACACAGAUUUUUUUUCAUGCAUUCAAAUAGAAUAAACUUCAUUGUCUAUGAGAAUCCAGAAUAUAUUUGAUCUUCUACCAGAAUCCAAAAUACGCCAAUCUUGUUUUUGAAUAUGAAAUGCACUUGAGAGAAUUCAUUGUCGCAAGCUCACUUCAUUCCAACCAUAGAAAAAGUUCGCAUCACGUGGUCUUCUUUAAGAAUCUUGAAUAAAUGAAGCAAUUUGCUUGUACUAGAAAAUUGUGACUAAAGACAUUAUGAUAUAAUACAUUAAUACAAAGACAUUCUGAUAGAAUAUACUACAGAAUGCAACCAAAAUUUCACAAAAACAAACCCAUACACAACAAAAACUCGUUUCACCUAAAAUAAAAAAUGACAAACAUAUGUCAUAAGAACAAAACAACUCCAAAACACUUUCAAAAUUGAUACAAUAAACCAUAAUCACAAUUCCAAAAACUUUCAAAACAGAAACAACUCCUUACCAAAUAAGACUAUAAGCUAUGUAUAUUAGAUGAUGCGAAUAAAGAGAAAUCGGAGGAACUUCAAUAAGCAUGAUUUCUUAAUUUACUUCUGUAAAAAAAUUACUUCAAUAAUCAUGACCCCCACUCAAUUUAUUGAAAACAUUUACUUUUGAAAAAAAAAUUCCUUUUGAUAACUCAACUUCAAUAAUCAUACUUUCUUACUUUGUAUACAACCGAUAAACAAUUAGGGAAAAAACAAUUAAACAAAAUUACUAUGUGCAUUUAAGAUGGCGGCUUCUAACACAACCUAAAAUUGAGAUGGUAGAAAUCGACUUUACAUAGAUAUAAAGGAGGAGAGGGAAGACACUUACUGUAACAGCCCGGAUUUCCAGGUAUCUUUUAUGUUUAUGUUUUUGGUGUUUUGAGAGGGGACUCGGCGAGUUGGAGCUCAGACUCGCCGAGUAGGAUCGCGGAUCUGGACGCGGGUUCGUGCCUGGACUCGGCGAGUCCGCGCUGUUUAAUGAAACCCGAAUUUCUCGGGUUUGGGACCUAUUUAAAGGGCCUUAUGGCCGUCAUUUGUGCUCACCAGUCCCUUGAGUGAAACCCUAAUCGAGUGUGAGCGUUUGGAGCAAAGUAGGAGGCCAUUAUUGAUCUUGGAGGUGUCAUCUUGCAAGGGAAAGGGAGGAUCAGCUAAGGGAAAGCAAGAGGAGCCACUUUCUGAGAGUUUGGAGUCCAGAACAUCGCUAUUGUGGUAAUAUCUUCGAGCUAUCCUCUUCUAUGUUGAUGUUUACAUUGAUUUAGGGCUUAUUGAGCCCUUUUGUGGCUAGAUCUAGUGCUCCCUUGGUCCCUUAAGCGAUUUAGACCAUAGAUCUGGACCCUUGGAGGUCCAGAGUGUCCCUUUGCCCAAGCUUUUUGUGAAUCAAUGGAGGUUUUGGAUUGGAAUCCUUAUGCCUUAGGUCAAAAUGCCAUUUAUGAGCCAUGGGGUGUGUUAUGAACACCAAGAUAAGGACUUUACGUGUUGAAUCAGUCUAGGAAGGCCAGAUCUAUGAAUUGUUGGAACAGAUCUGACCUUAGAAGCAAGUUUGAGUGAUUGCAUGGCAUGGACUCGCCGAGUCCGAUGAUCAGACUCGGCGAGUAGCUUGAAGAUUGCCCUCAGAUCGCCCAGUGAGUGGUCCAGUCGAGUCAUAGGUUGACUCAGUGAGUCAGGGCGAGUUAGAGAGGGUUGACAGGUGGUCUGAGUUGAACUGGGACUCGCCGAGUUGUUCUUGAGACUCGGCGAGUUGAGUCGGGGUGGCCCCGCGAUUCUUCCAGGUGGAACUCGUCGAGUCAGGGGGAGUACUCGACGUGUCAAAAGGGAAUCCUAGAGAGAUUGGUGAAAACGUCUAGACUCGCCGAGUCGCCCUAGUGCACUCGCCGAGUCCGGUCAAAGUUGACCGUUGACCGUUAACCAAGAGUUGACUAGUGUUGACUUAAAGGGUAGUCAACCUUAGUGGUAAAAAUGUUAAUAAGAGAUGUAUGAUGAUAUAGGGAGAUUGUAGCUCGGAGGAUCGAGCACGAGUGAUUUCGGGGUUUGCUAGCUAUCGAUAUUCUCGAGGUGAGUCUUCUCACUAUCCUAUACCCGGAAUGGUUUUGACUGUGUGACCGGAAGGUCGGAUAUGGUAUGAGACAUAUGUGCUAUAUGUGAUAAGUUAAUUGUGAUAUGUGUUAUGUAUGAUAUGCUUGAUAUGGGCCGGAAGGCAUUAUGUUAUGGUCCGGAAGGCGUUGUAAUGUGGACCGUAAGGUUGGCGUGGGUAGGACCGGAAGGUUUGCCCAGCAGGGACGGAAGUCCCCUGAGUCACAUGGACCGGAAGGUCAGGGCCUGGAAAGGCGUAUGUGCGUAAGUUAUAUUUUGGGGAACUCACUAAGCAUUUAUGCUUACAGUUGUUGCGUAUGUGUUUCAGGUACUAGCGAGGACCGUGGGAAGGCACCGGCGUGAUCUGUACACACUGAUGGAUGAUUUAUGAUCUUAGGAUUUAUAUGUUUGUAUUAUGACAUGAUACGUUG
rnacentral:lncRNA from 1 species